AUGUACUCGAUGAACCCGCUGAAGAUGCAGGUGCGGGGGCUAUACACACAUAACUUGUUUUGCAAGUUCCAGAUGGAGAUGAAGGUGAAAUCAGCAUACAGAUGCGACGCAUUGGAUGAUGGUACUUUCAAGGUCAGCUCAGUACGCGGGAUAAUACCGAAAUAUGGAGACAUGGACUACCAUGUGCAAGCAAACAUGGUUGAAGAGACAUACUCGUGUAGUUGCUGCAAGUUUGAUCGUGACGGGCUACUGUGCGCGCACGUACUACGAGUUAUGGACCAAAUUGGGGUAUAUGAGAUACCUGAAAAGUACAUCCUAAAGAGGUGGACCUGGGAUCCAGAGGAGGAUCUUAUUCAACCUGAUUUCGAACAGCCGACAGUUAAGAAGUCGAUGCCAGAGGAGGGGAAAAGCGUCAUGCGAUACACGUCAAUUCUUAAAGAAUUUAAGGCAUCGGCCAAAGAUGCUUGCCUAACAGAUGACGGGACCAGAUUGGCAAGAAAACACCUGUAUAAUUUCAAGGAGGAGCUUGAAAUCCUGAAGAACAAUCAACUUUAA
rnacentral:rRNA from 1 species